UAGGGAAUAUUGCACAAUGGAGGAAACUCUGAUGCAGCGACGCCGCGUGAGUGAUGAAGGCCUUCGGGUCGUAAAGCUCUGUCGCAGGGGAAUAACACAAUGAAGGUACCCUGUAAGAAAGGAUCGGCUAACUUCGUGCCAGCAGCCGCGGUAAGACGAGGGAUCCUAGCGUUGUUCGGAAUUAUUGGGCGUAAAGCGGGUGUAGGUGGCUAUGUAAGUCAGACGUGAAAGCCCAGGGCUCAACCCUGGAAGUGCGUUUGAAACUGUGUAGCUUGAGUGCUAGAGAGGUUACUAGAAUUCUUGGUGUAGUGGUGAAAUACGUAGAUAUCAAGAGGAAUACCGGAGGCGAAGGCGGGUAACUGGCUAAGCACUGACACUCAGACCCGAAAGUGCGGGGAUCAAACA
rnacentral:rRNA from 1 species